GAACGAGAAAGUGGAGCAAUCCAUGAGUAAAGUGGCGACCGGGUGAGUAACACGUGACUAACUUGCCCUCGAGUGGGGGAUAACCUCGGGAAACCGGGGCUAAUACCGCAUAACAUCUUCGGGAUGAGAAGCCGAAGAUCAAAGGAGCAAUUCGCUUGAGGAGAGGGUCGCGGCUGAUUAGCUAGUUGGUGGGGUAACGGCCCACCAAGGCGGUGAUCGGUAGCCGGCCUGAGAGGGCGCACGGCCACACUGGAGCUGAAACACGGUCCAGACUCCUACGGGAGGCAGCAGUGGGGAAUUUUGCGCAAUGGGGGAAACCCUGACGCAGCAACGCCGCGUGGAGGAUGAAGCCCUUUGGGGCGUAAACUCCUUUCGACCGGGACGAUAAUGACGGUACCGGUGGAAGAAGCACCGGCUAACUCUGUG
rnacentral:rRNA from 1 species